rnacentral:rRNA from 1 species
AUGGCGAGCACCACCAACGCCGCUGUGAUUUCCUGCGUUGUUCUAGUAGUUUUCCUGCAGGUGUCAUGCGCCGUUUCCAGGCACCCCGCGGAAAGUAAGUUCGAGCUUCGACAGAACGUCCCGGCGGUGAUGACGGUGAACGGCUUCCAGCAGGGAGAGGGGGGCGGCGGGCCGGCGUCGUGCGACGGCCAGUUCCACAGCGACGACGAGUUCGUGGUGUCGCUGUCCUCGGAGUGGUACGCCGGCGGGGCACGGUGCGGCAGGUACAUCCGCAUCGUCGACUCGUUCAAUAUUGGCAUAAACGUCAAGGUGGUCGACGAGUGCGCCGGCUGCGACAACGAGGUGGGCGCCUCAUCCCAUAUCUGGAAGAGCCUCAAUCUUGACACAAGCCAAGGUGAGGUCAACAUCAGAUGGUCCGACCUGGACUUCUAA